CCCGGCGACCGCCUCACGGGAGUAAAGUUGCGAGAAGGUGCUCUCGCGGUGCGCGGUGACAAUUUAUCGAAUCUUAUGGCACAGCCACACAAGUGCGUGUGUCCGGAGUCGGACUGUAUUCCAUACUGGAACGUGCCAAUGCUCGUAUACUGCCAGUACCAUAUUACGGCAGCAAUACCAGAGUGGCUUCCGAGCAUCUCGGCCGCAACUCACAGGGACAGCAGGCCCUCGUGCAACGGCGGCAGGCGGCGCAGGCCCGCGCC